CGCGCAGGCGGCCGUCUUUGUCAGGCGUGAAAGCCCCGGGCUUAACCUGGGAACUGCGCUUGAUACGGGAUGGCUAGAGAUCGGGAGAGGAGAGUGGAAUUCCCAGUGUAGAGGUGAAAUUCGUAGAUAUUGGGAAGAACACCGGUGGCGAAGGCGGCUCUCUGGACCGAUACUGACGCUGAGGCGCGAAAGCGUGGGGAGCAAACAGGAUUAGAUACCCUGGUAGUCCACGCUGUAAACGAUGUGUGCUAGACGUUGGGGAGCCUAGCUCUUCGGUGUCGCAGCUAACGCGGUAAGCACACCGCCUGGGGAGUACGGCCGCAAGGUUAAA
rnacentral:rRNA from 1 species